rnacentral:rRNA from 1 species
UAACCUGGUUGAUCCUGCCAGUAGUGUGUGCUCAUUGAAAGGAUUAAGCCAUGCAUGUCUAAGAUCGGGUGUUUAUACAACCUAAUCUGCGGACGGCUCAUUAAAUCGGUUAAAAUGUACACGGCAAUAACUUACUAGUCGGAUAACACUGGUAAAUCUAGAGCUAAUACGUGCUUCCACUUCGGUGGGCAUUUAUUAGGUUGAAGCCAAUCGCUCUUCGGAGUGUUUAGGUGAUUCAUAAUAACUUAGCAGAUCGCGCAAGCGACAAGCCGUUCCAUUUUCCGCUCUAUCACACUUUCGACGGUAGAAUAGGGGUCUACCGUGGUAAUAACGGAUAACGGAGAAUUAGGGUUUGACUCCGGAGAUGGAGCCUGAGAAAUGGCUACAACUUCUAAGGAAGGCAGCAGGCGCGAAAAUUCUCCAAUGGCCAAAGGCCGAGAGAGCGACUCAACAUAACGAGAUUUUCUCUAUGAGAAAAUCAUCGCAAUGAGUACAGCAUACAACACUCUUCGAGAAACAAUUGGAGGGCAAGUUCUGGUGCCAGCAGCCGCGGUAAUUCCAGCUCCAAUAGUGCACAUUAAAGUUGCUGCGAUUAAAAAGCACGUAGCCGGAUUUUGGGGUGCCUGUAUCGACCCCACCCAGUAGGGUGGUGUGUUGAACACGGGUGUCCUUUCGCUUGGGUGUGACUUUCGGGUCUCGCUCGGGCAUAUUACCAUGAGGAAAUUGGAGUGCUCAAGGCAUGCGUCUUGCAGUUGAACAGUACAGCAUGGGAUAAUUUUACAUGACGUGUUUCCAUUCUAUUGGUUUCUGGGAACACGCAUUGAUUAAUGGGGGCGGUUGAGGUCCUUCGUACUCAAAUGUUAGCAGUGGAAUGCUCAGACCAUUUGAAGACGAACAAAGGCGAAAGCAAUGGACUUACACGUUCUCGUCGGUCAAGUACGAUAGCAUGAGGAGAGAAGGCGAUUAGUUACCGCCGUAUUUCAUGCCGUAAACGAUGCCACCUGGGGAUUGGGAAUCCAAGAAGCUUCUCAGGACCCUCCGAGAAAUCAAAGUCAUCAGGCUUCGGGGGAAUUACGCUCGCAAGAGUGAAACUUAAAGGAAUUGACGGAAGGCUGCCUCAAGCUGUGGAGUCUGCGGCUUAAUUUGACUCAACGCGGGGAACCUCACCAGGGCCAGACACAGCAAGGAUUGACAGGUUAAGUGGGCCUUUCAUGAUUCUGUGGAUGGUGGUGCAUGGCCGCUGAAAGUGAGUGAUGUGAGUUGUCUGCUUUAUUGCGAUAACUAACGAGACCUCCGCUGUUAAAUAGUCAGCUUUAGAUUUUUUCUAGAGUAUGGCUUCUUAACGGGACUACUGUAGUGAUACAGGGGAAGCGGGAGGCUAUAACAGGUCUGUGAUGCCCA